rnacentral:rRNA from 1 species
AACGAACGCUGGCGGCAUGCCUAACACAUGCAAGUCGAACGAGACCUUCGGGUCUAGUGGCGCACGGGUGCGUAACGCGUGGGAACCUGCCCUUAGGUUCGGAAUAACUCCCCGAAAGGGGUGCUAAUACCGGAUAAUUUCUUCGGACCAAAGAUUUAUCGCCUUGGGAUGGGCCCGCGUUGGAUUAGCUAGUUGGUAGGGUAAAAGCCUACCAAGGCGGCGAUACAUAGCUGGUCUGAGAGGAUGACCAGCCACACUGGGAGUGAGACACGGCCGAGACUCUUACGGGAGGCAGCAAUGGGGAAUAUGGGACAACGGGCGAAAGCCGGAUCCAGCAAUGCCGCGUGAGUGAUGAAGGCCUGAGGGUUGUAAAGCUCUGUUAACCGGGAUGAUAAUGACGGUACCGGGAGAGUAAGCGCCGGCUAACUACGUG